UAAGGGGUGCUGUGCCUGUUGGCACGGCUGAGAUCAUACCCAACGAACCUGAUACGGAUAAUGCCGACGCAGGGAAAAGGUAAUUUU
rnacentral:ncRNA from 1 species